rnacentral:ncRNA from 1 species
AAAAACGUUAUUUCACAUUCGUAUAUGCUUUCGGAUCUGGCGAGAGUGUCUCUACCCCGCCGCCAUAACGGCGGGACUACGAUUGUCGUUUUU